rnacentral:rRNA from 1 species
CAGUCGCCGCGGUAAUACGUAGGUCCCGAGCGUUGUCCGGAUUUAUUGGGCGUAAAGCGAGCGCAGGCGGUUAGAUAAGUCUGAAGUUAAAGGCUGUGGCUUAACCAUAGUACGCUUUGGAAACUGUUUAACUUGAGUGCAAGAGGGGAGAGUGGAAUUCCAUGUGUAGCGGUGAAAUGCGUAGAUAUAUGGAGGAACACCGGUGGCGAAAGCGGCUCUCUGGCUUGUAACUGACGCUGAGGCUCGAAAGCGUGGGGAGCAAACAGGAUUAGAGACCCCUCUAGUCCCUGUCUCUUAUACA